rnacentral:rRNA from 1 species
AUUGAACGCUUGCGGCAGGCUUAACACAUGCAAGUCGAGCGAGCGGCGGCCGGGUGAGUAAUGUCUGGGAAACUGCCUGCUGGAGGGGGAUAACUACUGGAAACGGUAGCUAAUACCGCAUACCAUCAGUUGUGCCCAGAUGGGAUUAGCUAGUAGGUGGGGUAAUGGCUCACAUAGGCGACGAUCCCUAGCUGGUCUGAGAGGAUGACCAGCCACACUGUAACUGAGACACGGUCCAGAAUCCGUCGGGAGGCAGCAGUGGGGAAGAUUGCAAAAUGGGCGCAAGCCUGAUGCAGCCAUGCCGCGUGUGUGAAGAAGGCAUGCGGGUUGUAAAGAAAUUUCAGCGAGGAGGCGUUACUCGCAGAAGAAGCACCUGCCACCGCCGGGCCAGCAGCCGCGGUAAUAC